AUUACCUAAUUUUUUUUUUCCUUGAAUUUUUUAAUGGAAAUCUCAGGCUUUGGUGAGUUCAUAAUUAUUUCCCAAUAUUUGUGCAGAGCAGCAAUUAUGGAACUGAGGAGGAGCAUAUUCAAGAACAUGCUAUCGGGCAUGGUACCAACACCUCCCUGGACAAGAUGUCAGAAGGAGAACCCAAUAUUGAUGGCGAUCAAAGCCAAGAACUGGGCCAUAUAAGUGAUAGUUCUCCAGAGAUGUGUCAUGGAGCUUCAGGAGAAAAGCAAGAUUUCACCCAGAUAAAGUUGUCAGCCUCAGCAUUAUGGCAGAAAAUAAAUCAAAUCCUCCCAUAGAUGUACUGCAGAAAAGAGCCUGGAAAUCUUUCACAGUCAAUGCCAAGAGGACAUUGUGUACCUUGAUGCCACUGGCAGCAUAAUGAAGCAAGGAAAAUCAACAAUGGCACCUUUUUAUGUGUAUGAGCUUGUUGUGUGGAACCCCAAAAAAGGAUCUCCUCCUUUUUCCAUGGGGAAGCAUUCCUAAACAUCACUUUGGCAUGCAUGUGAUUGGUCUGUUGACAUCAGCAAACACCAUGGCAGAACUCAAGGAGAUGAUGCCAAGUGCCAUCUAUUGUCAUAUGUGGUGGAAUCCCAAAUUAGUUCUGAGGAACUAGCUCAGGUUGACAUUAGAGUUUCACCAUUUGUGAAACAUCUAGAGGACGUUAUCCAGAAGGCACCACUUGACCUGACAGGAGAAGACAAUGCUUACCUCUAUUUCAUUAGAGCCCUGGAGGGCAAUAUGCUCCCUCAUGUUGCUCUUAUGUUUGGUUUGUAAUGAAUCUAUUAUGUUAUAUUCUAAAUAUUUGUAAUUUCUUAGUUUAUUCAGUGUAUUAACCUAUAAUAUUUCAAUACUUAUUGCAUCCUAGGGUUUAUUAUGCUGUAAUUAAUUGGACAAGUUAGUUAUGAACUAGUUAUUAUUAUAUAUAAGUAAAGCAUAAAAUGUUUGAAAAAAAUACAUAUAUAAAUACAUAUAUACAUACAUAUAUACACACAUACACAUACAAACACACACAUUAUACAUAUAUUGUAUCCCUGUAUCUCCUCAGCUCGGACA